AUGGUAGGAUAGAGGCCUACCAUGGUGGUAACGGGUAACGGGGUGUUAGGGCACGACACCGGAGAGGGAGCCUGAGAAACGGCUACCACAUCCAAGGAUGGCAGCAGGCGCGCAAAUUACCCAAUCCCGACACGGGGAGGUAGUGACAAUAAAUAACAAUACGGGGUUCUUUAGGAUCUCGUAAUUGGAGUGAGUACAAUUUAAAUCUCUUAACGAGGAACAAUUGGAGGGCAAGUCUGGUGCCAGCAGCCGCGGUAAUUCCAGCUCCAAUAGCGUAUAUNAAAGUUGUUGCAGUUAAAAAGCUCGUAGUUGAAUUUCGGGGUCAGUAGGUCGGUCGUGCCACUGGUAUGAACUGGUUUUACUGAUUCCUCCCUCUUGAAGAACUGUAAUGCCAUUAAUUUGGUGUUGCAGGGAAUCAGGACUGUUACUUUGAAAAAAUUAGAGUGUUUAAAGCAGGCUUUAGCUUGAAUACAUUAGCAUGGAGUAAUGAAAUAGGACGUUUGAUCCUAUUUUGUUGGUUUCUAGGAUUGACGUAAUGAUUAAUAGGGAUAGUUGGGGGCAUUAGUAUUCAAUUGUCAGAGGUGAAAUUCUUGGAUUUAUUGAAGACUAACUACUGCGAAAGCAUUUGCCAAGGAUGUUUUCAUUAAUCAAGAACGAAAGUUAGGGGAUCGAAGACGAUCAGAUACCGUCGUAGUCUUAACCAUAAACUAUGCCGACUAGGGAUCGGAUGAUGUUAAUUUUUUAAUGACUCAUUCGGCGCCUUACGGGAAACCAAAGUGUUUGGG
rnacentral:rRNA from 1 species